CAGGCCUAACACAUGCAAGUCGAGCGGACCAUUCCUUCGGGGAUGGUUAGCGGCGGACGGGUGAGUAACACGUAGGCAACCUGCCUGUAAGAUCGGGAUAACUACCGGAAACGGUAGCUAAGACCGGAUAGCUGGUUUCUCCGCAUGGAGGGAUCAUGAAACAUGGGGCAACCUGUGGCUUACGGAUGGGCCUGCGGCGCAUUAGCUAGUUGGUGGGGUAAUGGCCCACCAAGGCGACGAUGCGUAGCCGACCUGAGAGGGUGAUCGGCCACACUGGGACUGAGACACGGCCCAGACUCCUACGGGAGGCAGCAGUAGGGAAUCUUCCGCAAUGGGCGCAAGCCUGACGGAGCAACGCCGCGUGGGUGAUGAAGGUUUUCGGAUCGUAAAGCUCUGUUGCCAAGGAAGAACGCCUCGGAGAGUAACUGCUCUGAGGGUGACGGUACUUGAGAAGAAAGCCCCGGCUAACUACGUGCCAGCAGCCGCGGUAAUACGUAGGGGGCAAGCGUUGUCCGGAAUUAUUGGGCGUAAAGCGCGCGCAGGCGGUCUUUUAAGUUUGGUGUUUAAGCCCGGGGCUCAACCCCGGUUCGCACUGAAAACUGGGAGACUUGAGUGCAGGAGAGGAAAGCGGAAUUCCACGUGUAGCGGUGAAAUGCGUAGAGAUGUGGAGGAACACCAGUGGCGAAGGCGACUUUCUGGACUGUAACUGACGCUGAGGCGCGAAAGCGUGGGGAGCAAACAGGAUUAGAU
rnacentral:rRNA from 1 species